ensembl:snoRNA
ACUCAGUUUAUCUUUGUUAAAAACUAAAUGACUCAUUGGAAACGCAUCGUAGAGCAACUGUGUGGUUUCCUUUACUCACAGAACUACCAGUUAGAUCUGUGGGAAAAGACUACACGACCGAG